rnacentral:rRNA from 1 species
GCGAAGCGAAGCAGCGAUGUGAAGCAAAUCGCACCAAAGCCGGUCCCAGUUCGGAUAAGAGGCUGAAACUCGCCUCUUUGAAGUCGGAAUCGCUAGUAAUCGCAGAUCAGCAUGUUGCGGUGAAUACGUUUCCUGGUCUUGUACACACCGCCCGUCAAACCAUGAGAGUCGCCAACACCCGAAGUCCGCUUUGCGGCCUAAGGUGGGGGAGAUGAUUGGGGUUAAGUCGUAACAAGGUAGC